CUGAUCGCACUAUAAGAGCAGCAUCCAGACAGCAGGAGGACGCCAGAGUGUUAACCGUAGUGGUUACCUCUCGAUCGCCUUUCAGAGGGUCUCACUCGUGCUGACUCCAGGUUCCCACAGGGUCCUCCCUUUCUCCUGGCUCCAAGCAAGGUGCUUCGAGCCACUCUGGUUUCUCCUGCUGCCCCGGAUCAUUAAGUAAGCGCAGCUCUGUCACCCUCAAGCCCGAGCCCCACCUGUCACUGAGACACCCGCCACCAGCUCCAUCGAUCAGAGCCUGAGUCCGCUCCGUCCUCCCCCGGUUAGGUUGCUGCGUCCGGUGAAGUCGAACGGGUCCCGGUGCUGUGGCUUCCCCGUCGACUCCGUUGCUUCCAUUUUCUCUCUCUCAAUAAACAGUUAACUGAUCCCUGUUGCCGUGUGUGUUCUGCAUGUGGGCUAAAUACGUUCAGCC